AGCAGCCGCGGUAAUUCCAGCUCCAAUAGCGUAUAUUAAAGUUGUUGCAGUUAAAAAGCUCGUAGUUGAACCUUGGGCCUGGCUGGCCGGUCCGCCUCACCGCGUGUACUGGUCCGGCCGGGCCUUUCCUUCUGGGGAACCUCAUGCCCUUCACUGGGCGUGUUGGGGAACCAGGACUUUUACUUUGAAAAAAUUAGAGUGUUCAAAGCAGGCCUUUGCUCGAAUACAUUAGCAUGGAAUAAUAGAAUAGGACGUGUGGUUCUAUUUUGUUGGUUUCUAGGACCGCCGUAAUGAUUAAUAGGGACAGUCGGGGGCAUCAGUAUUCAAUUGUCAGAGGUGAAAUUCUUGGAUUUAUUGAAGACUAACUACUGCGAAAGCAUUUGCCAAGGAUGUUUUCAUUAAUCAGGAACGAAAGUUAGGGGAUCGAAGACGAUCAGAUACCGUCGUAGUCUUAACCAUAAACUAUGCCGACUAGGGAUCGGACGGUGUUAUUUUUUGACCCG
rnacentral:rRNA from 1 species